ensembl:lncRNA
GGACAAGCCUGACCUCUGAAACUCACCAGAAACUAGGAUCCCUUUCAUUCCUUGCCUCCCAGCCUUUGGGGCCCUACCUGCACCUCUCUAUCCUGAGGGUUCCAGCCUAUGUCACAGCGGCAGGUUUAUUGAGUCCACUGUCUGACCUCCCUGCAACCCUUACCUCUCCCCUGGGACCUCCAGUCUGAGCUGGAGAGAGAUGGAUGAGCUCUUGCUGAACCUCCACGAGAAUGGUUGACAGGCUGGACUUUCUGAUGAGAUAUAAACUCAGGAGCGGGACUGCUGGGUCAUAUGGUGCGUGAGCACACUUGCUAAGUCGCUUCAGUCACGUCUGACUCAGACUCCAUGGACUGUACCCCACCAGCCAAGAGCACUGGAGUGGGUUGCCAUGCCCUCCUCCAGGAGAUCUUCUCAACCCAGGGAUGGAACCCUCAUCUCUGAGGUCUCCGGCAUUGGCAGACGGGUACUUUACCACUAGCGCCACCUGGGAAGCCCGGGCCAUAUGGUAGCUCUGUGGGUUUUGGUUUUUUGUUUGUUUGUUUUUAAGGAAGCUUCAUACUGCUUUCUAUAGUGGCUACACCAAUUUAUAUUCC